GACGAACGCUGGCGGCGUGCUUAACACAUGCAAGUCGAACGGAAAGGCCCUGCUUUUGUGGGGUGCUCGAGUGGCGAACGGGUGAGUAACACGUGAGUAACCUGCCCUUGACUUUGGGAUAACUUCAGGAAACUGGGGCUAAUACCGGAUAGGAGCUCCUGCUGCAUGGUGGGGGUUGGAAAGUUUCGGCGGUUGGGGAUGGACUCGCGGCUUAUCAGCUUGUUGGUGGGGUAGUGGCUUACCAAGGCUUUGACGGGUAGCCGGCCUGAGAGGGUGACCGGCCACAUUGGGACUGAGAUACGGCCCAGACUCCUACGGGAGGCAGCAGUGGGGAAUAUUGCACAAUGGGCGGAAGCCUGAUGCAGCAACGCCGCGUGCGGGAUGACGGCCUUCGGGUUGUAAACCGCUUUCGCCUGUGACGAAGCGUGAGUGACGGUAAUGGGUAAAGAAACACCGGCUAACUACGUGCCAGCAGCCGCGGUGAUACGUAGGGUGCGAGCGUUGUCCGGAUUUAUUGGGCGUAAAGGGCUCGUAGGUGGUUGAUCGCGUCGGAAGUGUAAUCUUGGGGCUUAACCCUGAGCGUGCUUUCGAUACGGGUUGACUUGAGGAAGGUAGGGGAGAAUGGAAUUCCUGGUGGAGCGGUGGAAUGCGCAGAUAUCAGGAGGAACACCAGUGGCGAAGGCGGUUCUCUGGGCCUUUCCUGACGCUGAGGAGCGAAAGCGUGGGGAGCGAACAGGCUUAGAUACCCUGGUAGUCCACGCUGUAAACGGUGGGUACUAGGUGUGGGGUCCAUUCCACGGGUUCCGUGCCGUAGCUAACGCUUUAAGUACCCCGCCUGGGGAGUACGGCCGCAAGGCUAAAACUCAAAGGAAUUGACGGGGCCUCGCACAAGCGGCGGAGCAUGCGGAUUAAUUCGAUGCAACGCGUAGAACCUUACCUGGGUUUGACAUGGAUCGGGAGCGCUCAGAGAUGGGUGUGCCUCUUUUGGGGUCGGUUCACAGGUGGUGCAUGGCUGUCGUCAGCUCGUGUCGUGAGAUGUUGGGUUAAGUCCCGCAACGAGCGCAACCCUUGUUCACUGUUGCCAGCACGUUAUGGUGGGGACUCAGUGGAGACCGCCGGGGUCAACUCGGAGGAAGGUGGGGAUGACGUCAAGUCAUCAUGCCCCUUAUGUCCAGGGCUUCACGCAUGCUACAAUGGCUGGUACAGAGAGUGGCGAGCCUGUGAGGGUGAGCGAAUCUCGGAAAGCCGGUCUCAGUUCGGAUUGGGGUUUGCAACUCGACCUCAUGAAGUCGGAGUCGCUAGUAAUCGCAGAUCAGCAACGCUGCGGUGAAUACGUUCCCGGG
rnacentral:rRNA from 1 species